rnacentral:tRNA from 1 species
GUUUUAAUAGUUUAAAUAAAACUCUGGUCUUGUAAACCAGUGAUGAAGUUUUCUUCUUAAAACA